CAGAGACAGCAUGGCUGUUCUGUCAGUACAGAUGGAUCAUUAGCUACUGGAUCUGAUAAGUGGGGCUUUAAUGGAGAAGACUUCCUGACCUUUGACUUGGAUGCUGGUACCUGGAGAUCAGACUCUCCACAAGCACUUAGGGCAGAGCAAGAGUGGAAUCAGAGGACAUUAGGCAAUAAAAUUUAUAAAGACUUUCUCCUAAAUAAAUGUCAGAAUUUACUGAACAGGUUUAUGAAGAAAGAAGAGGAAGGAAUGAAAUACACAGUCCCUGAGGUGCACACAUUUGCCAAGUUUGUGCCAGAGAAGAAGGCCGUGUCUUUACGGUGUCAGGUGGCGUGUCGUGACUCAACAGGGCUGCAGAUCCAGGUGACACGAGGUGGACAGGUAGUGGCUGACAGGAGGACAGCCACAGGGCCACUGCCUAAUAUGGACGGGACAGUGCAGCUGAGGCUGAGCAUUGAGAUCAGUCCUGCAGACACACGGGGGUAUCGCUGUGAGAUACACAGCAACACGGGCAACAUGUCUGUCACAUGAGUUGACUUCAUGAAAAAUAAGUCUGUGGAAACUUCCCCAAGCAGAACACAAUCGAAGACCUCAGACCAAGCCCACUAUCUAAUUCCCUGUAUUUCGUUGGUGGGAAUACUACUUUCUUGUUUUAUUUUGGUGAAAGUGAAAGACAAGCCAAAGUCGAAACUGAAACAGACAGCUGUGGAUCCAAGCUUGGUGAAGUGGUUCAUGAAGAUAAGAGACAACAUUAACUUCAUACUGGCAAUGGUGACAGACAUCAUGAUCUUUGAAUCAAACACCCCAGAAUGUCACAGAGAUAUAAAUGAGCAAUGGCAUAAAAUGGCCUCAGAUGAUGAUGAAUUUUAUGCUCCUUGGAAACACAGGCAACAGCACACUGAGCUUGAGACUUCACUCUGAGAUUUUGCAUCAUGGAAGAGUUUGUGGUGUUAUUCUUUUCCUUUGUCUGUAGAAAAACAGAACUAUGUACAAACCAGGGUGCCUUACACAGCAGUAUAUGUCUUAGAUGAAAACCAAUGGACCUUCUUAUUUUGUAUUAUGUGAAAAUAUAGAAUUUAAAUCACAUGUUAAAAGAAAUGUGCUGCCUACCAAGUAGCCCAGUGGUCAAGGAAUUUGUUAAGAUGGGAAGCUAUCUUGAACUAUCCUUCACAAACUGCAGUGCAUCUCAGCACACAUAUGAUAGAUGUUAGAUAAUGUGGUGUGGUUUCCCACUAACAACUGCUUCAAUGAAAUGGCCAGCAGAGGGAGAUAGUGUGUUCGUUGUUUACAAUAAAGUUUUAAA